rfam:Schistosoma margrebowiei strain Zambia genome assembly, scaffold: SMRZ_scaffold0001663
GCACUGCUGAGGAGUCCCACAACAGGACGAAACAGCCGUCCAGUGC